rnacentral:lncRNA from 1 species
GCACAGCCCAGAGUCCCAUCCAACCUGCAGGCUGCACUAAGGCUCUGAGUGUUAAUUCUGCAGUCUUCCCUCUCGACAGCUUGCUGAGAGCCUUCAGACAGGACUCACAGACACUCAGACACACAGCACCCAUUCACUGCCAUGGUGACAGCAGGAACCACAGCCCUGGGGUUUGGCAGGCCAGCUCCUGCCAGCGUCCUUUCGUUGUCUCCCAGCUGCCCAGCACAGGAGAGGAACAGCAAAGGCAGCAGUCUGGAGGACAUCCUUCGCCCAUCGGUGGGCAGCCAGGGCUGUUGGCACAUCGCAGAGCACCACGAGCGGGACGUGCUGCUCUUCCAGUUCCUUGGAGGUAUCAGGAGGAAAGGCAUCACGGUGUAAGGGCAGACAGCUGAUGGCUUGUAUGACUGAGCCCCUACAGAAGAAUGAAUUGGAUAAGUUACAUCGCUGCUCACACUGCAUACUUCGGUGAGCACUUCAUGCUCUUCCUUCGUUCUGGACCAACAAGUCGUACGCUGAGACCAGAGACCAACUAAUAACGGCAGCUUUUUCCUUCAGUGAGUUUGCACAAGAAAUGCAUUUCAUUCCACAGACCAACCCACGGCCCAGGGCACGGCCUGUGCAAACACAGACUGCAGAGCACACCCCGAGAUGGGCCAUUUCCAGCCCUGCCCAGGGGAGCCCAGCAGCCUCACCUGCCGGAGCACUGCAGGAGUGGGGCUGCAGCCUGGGCCACUGCUACAGCACACUGAUCUACCACGGGGCUGCUGCUCCAACAGCCCUCACUGCAUGGAACGACAGAAAUGACCAAGGAG